rnacentral:rRNA from 2 species
UGUGAUCCAUGACUGGGGUGAAGUCGUAACAAGGUAACCGUAGGGGAACCUGCGGUUGGAUCACCUCCUUA